rnacentral:misc_RNA from 1 species
GAUGAAGAAUGCAGCGAAAUGCGAUAAGUAAUGUGAAUUGCAGAAUUCAGUGAAUCAUCGAAUCUUUGAACGCACAUUGCGCCCGCCAGUAUUCUGGCGGGCAUGCCUGUUCGAGCGUCAUUUCAACCAUCAAGCCCCCGGGCUUGUGUUGGGGACCUGCGGCUGCCGCAGGCCCUGAAAAGCAGUGGCGGGCUCGCUGUCACACCGAGCGUAGUAGAUUUUAUCUCGCUCUGGGCGUGCUGCGGGUUCCGGCCGUUAAACCACCCUUUUAACCCAAGGUUGACCUCGGAUCAGGUAGGAAGACCCGCUGAACUUAAGCAUAUCAAUAAGCGGAGGA